GACAGAGGGUGCAAACGUUGCUCGGAAUCACUGGGCGUAAAGGGCGUGUAGGCGGGGAUGUAAGUCGGGCGUGAAAUCCCUAGGCUCAACCUAGGAACUGCACUCGAAACUGCGUUUCUUGAGUACUGGAGAGGAAAGCGGAAUACCUGGUGUAGAGGUGAAAUUCGUAGAUAUCAGGUGGAACACCAGCGGCGAAGGCGGCUUUCUGGACAGUAACUGACGCUGAGACGCGAAAGCGUGGGGAGCAAACAGG
rnacentral:rRNA from 1 species